GGGCCCGUAGCUUAGUCUGGAGCCUUUGGCGGAUAAUUAGAGCGCCGGUCUUAUAAGCCGGAGGUCGUGAGUUCGAAUCUCGCCGGGCCCA
rnacentral:tRNA from 1 species